UCAAGGAAUCAUUAAAAAGAAGGAAUCUAAGACUAUUUUAAAAAUUUCUCUCAAUGAUUUAAUAUUUGGGUUUUAUGUAUUUUAUUCCAUUUUAGCACUGUGAGAUAGCAUGAUUGCCUAAAGGACUGUAUUAAAGAUGAGUGCACAGUUCUGUCUUAUUUAUCUGCUGUCACAUUGUUUUGACACAGAAGAAAGUCAAGUAACAUUGAUGAAGAGCUAAAAUAUGCUCUAACUGUGGAAAAAAUAAAUAUAAAUUGUCCAUAGUUGCUCAAUUUCUAAAGUAAAAGGAAAAAAUACAGUGUAAGACUGUGAAUUAGUUCAGGAAGGUAAACUUAAGUAAUGUUUAUUUAACUUCAAGAUUUCAGUGGCUUAACUCAACAAAGGUCUGCUUCUUCUGCAUGUCACGGGACAAUGCUGGUUGGUAUGGAUGGCUCUUCUCCAUGCAGUAAUUCAGAGACACAGGCUUCUUUCAUCUAGUGAUUUAUUUUUCCCUGCAGCUUCAGAUACUCUUUUUCCCUCUCUCUGGGAUCCUUUGCAUCUGUCUGGCAGAUAUGGAGACGGAAAGCACAAGAGGAUUGUGUUAGGAGUCUUAAGGGCUGGAUGUGACACUCCUUGAAAGGGAAGCUGGGGAAUGAGUAUGUAGGUGUGUGUCCAGGAUGUAGGGAAAAUGGGUUUGGUGGGGACAGCACUUCCUGGAAUAACGUUGCUUUGGAUUUAACAACAGUUGGGCAAAGGAGGUCGGUAUACAGAUACAGGACAAGAAGAGUGGUGUCAAAGGGAGGCUAAAUCAUUGGUUCUGGCUUCAUCUAAGGAAUUCUUAUGAGAAAUCGAGGGAGAGACUGUCCUGGGAAGUCUGAUGAAACAUGAUCAAGAUAUUUUAACUUCUGUGUUUAGCGCCUUUAAUAGAUUGAGCUAAGAAGUCUAAGCAAUCUUCAGGGCUAAGAAACAAGCUGCACUUGCCAGAGUUGGAUGUUCACACCUUGGUGAUGGCUGAUAUUAAACAGAAUUCUUAAUGAACAAAUCGGCCUUGAAAAGGGAACAUGGUGAAGCAAGACAAAAGAAUUACAAACUUUGACUGAAACUUUCUCCUACCAGGAAUACAGGGACCGCUCACCAGGUUGUGAUGAGAAGGAUCAUCUGAAAUGCUCCAUUGCUCUCAGAAGUUGAGGUAACUUCAUUGGGCCCAAACUGAUAAACUAGGAAUGGCUCAGAAAAUAGCCCCUUAGAAGAACUGUAUGAAGCUUGGAUCCAUUUUUCUGAGAAAAAAGAAAAAUCCCUCCAAUGAUUUGGUGAGGAGUUGAAGACAAAUAUCUUUAUUAUUUAUAAGUAUUCUGGCCAAGACAAUGAGUGUUGGAGUGGGAGGAUGAGGGAAUUUUAUGAUGAACGACAGCACAGCAAGAUGGACAGUAAGGCUCUGUCAUUGCCAUACCAGAUGUACAGAAGUGGCAUUUCAACUAAGGACACUGAAUAUGAAACAGACCUUGGAAAAGAGAGGAUGGAGUUAACUCUGAGAACAGAAAUCACCUACCUCUCUCCUCCCUAAACACACAGCUUACUGUCUAUAAUAAUAUACCCUUACUGGUCCAUUGUCCUCAUUAACAUAACUACAAUUCCAGGAGACUCUUGCCCAGGCAAAUUGCUUUAUUGUUCAUUACAGAGAGUUUUUGAAACAAAGAACCAUCAAUGCUUCAACAGAAAGCAUCAACAGUUUAUACCCCAAGAUCUUAGAACUCCUCACUUCCAAAUCCUCACUAUGCUAAUCCUAAACUAUUAUGUCAUGAUUUUUACCUAAACAAGACCCUGCAUGGAAAGAUCCUCUUUAUACAAUCUUUCAUUUUUUUGUCCUGGCUUUAAAAUGCAAAGCCCAUAUCCUUGGAAUUCCCUCUGUCUUGGGCAAAGUGUGACAGUUGGCCACCCUACUCCAAAAUCUCAUAAUUUUCCCACCUUGCCCCUCUAGAGACUAUCAAUCUCUGUUGAGGUGGUUCUCUCUUUCCAGGGUGAGCAAUAAACUCCUUGCCAGAGCUUUCCAUUGGGGGAGGAGGGUUUGAACUACUGCCAGAGACAAACAGAUGUAAACUAGAUGCAGGAGUUUGGAAAUUGAGCAGGGUUUGCAGUCUGGAAAAUUGCUCCACAAGAGACUGUCGUUGAACGAGUAGUCCUGAGUGAGUGGUCUAAGAGAACGUCAGAGUGAAAGAAAAUGCAGCCCACCUGGGUCAGCUGAAAAGGUAGAGAAUAAAAGGGAAAUGAAAUGCAGCUGCUAGUAACAGUUGAUUAAAUGAGGCUGGCAACUUACAUGGAGGCUGGAAGAGGAGAAAUGUGGGAGAGGCAGCAAGGAGAGAGAAGGAAACAUGAAGGAGGAGAAGAUUUCUAGAAGGAAAUGUAAGAGCUACAAAGGAGAAAGAUGAAUGAGAGACCCCACAAGAAAACAGCAGGGAAAAGAAGCUGCUUUCUGAGUUGAUGGUUGUUUCUAGUUUGGGGCUAUUAUGAAGAAAGCUGCUAUGAAGAACAUCCAUGUACAAAUCAUUUUAUGGACACACAUACUCAUUGCUCUUGGGUAAAUAUCUAGGAAUAUGAUUUAUGGAUCAUAGACUUGGACUAAAUUCUACACCACAGGCUCUCCUGGUUCUCAGGCCAUUGGAUUCAAACCAGAAUUUAUACCAUCAGCUCUCUUGGUUCUCAGGACUUUCAACUUUGACUGAUACUAUACCUUUGGCUCUCCUGGGUCUUCAGUUUUCCAACUGCUUCUCUUGAGCCUCUUAGCCUCCAUAAUCAUGUGAACCAAUUCUUUACAGUACAGUACAAAUCUCUCUCCCUCUCCCUCUCCCCUCCCUCAGCCCCCUAAAUUUGUUAGAACUGAUGAAUAAAAUUCAGUAAAGUAGGUUACAAAAUCAACAUACAAAAUUUAAUAGUGUUUCUAUAUGGUAACAAUGAACUAUCUGAAAAAAAUUAAGAAAACAAUUCCAUUUGCAAUAGCUAUAAAAAAUAAGAUAC
rnacentral:lncRNA from 1 species